GUGACAUACGACUCAAUGAACUUCAGCCUCCAGAGUCACCUGGACGCCACUGUGAUGCUCUGCUGCACAAAGAGACCAGGAGGAGGAGGAGGAGGAGGAAGGCACUGAGGUUUGAGUGGGUAGAGAGGAGGCGAGGCUGUUGUGGCAUUUGUUCGGCCAAGCGUGAUACUCCUGCUCACAUUCCUCGACGUAACCUCCCUGCUGGGGAGCAAAGCCGUGACUAAACCACCGCCGAGGGCCGCAAACACACGACAACAUAGACGCGUGAGCAGCAAACUGGCUCGGAGACUCGGCGUCAACGCGGCUGUUUUGGAUUUUUUUUUUUAGAUCGUCUGAAAAUGCUAAUUCGGGACACGAGAUGGAGAUUAUUACCAAUGACGACAAUAUCUUAUUUUCUCUUUGAUGUGUACGAUUUCCAGGUUAGGCUUCUAGUCACAGUCAGAUGUGAUGGAGACGGCCGACGGCGGAACAGUUCAAUUGACAAAAGCAAUUCAACCGCGCAAGAGAAAAAGAAUCCCGUUGGCGGAGGAACAAAAGCAGGUGAAGAAGAUAAAAACAAGAGUGAACCUCGGAUUGACAUUCACUUGGAGGGUUGAGAGGCUUCAAAUGUACAUGUACAGGACAUGUCGUUUGUUUUCCUUCUGCCACAUUCGAUGUGAACGGCCCGCGCACCUCGCUGUGACUCCGCUGUGAUAACAGCCAGUGAGACAAUCCACUUCCUGCCUUCCCAGGCAGAGCUGUGACAUCUGCGUGGGUGGACGGCACGAACAGAGAUCAAGUGCGCGUGUUUGUUCUGUCUUUAGCUACUUAUUAUAUAAUUUUGACCUUUCCCUUUAUUUACUUGGAUAUUUUUCAGUCAGAGUAAAUAAA